UGGUGCCAGCAGCCGCGGUAAUUCCAGCUCCAAUAGCGUAUAUUAAAAUUGUUGCAGUUAAAAAGCUCGUAGUUGAAUUUCUGCUGCAUUGCUUGUGUCCCUCUGGGGUCUGUGCAUGUGGCUUUUUUCGGACGGAGUUUCUUUGUCUGAAUGUUUACUUUGAGAAAAUUAGAGUGCUCAAAGCAGGCUUUCGCCUUGAAUAGUUUAGCAUGGAAUAAUAAAGUAGGACUUUGGUUCUAUUUUGUUGGUUUUAGGUACCAAAGUAAUGGUUAAUAGGAACAGUUGGGGGCAUUCGUAUUUAACUGUCAGAGGUGAAAUUCUUAGAUUUGUUAAAGACGAACUACUGCGAAAGCAUUUGCCAAGGAUGUUUUCAUUAAUCAAGAACGAAAGUUAGGGGAUCGAAGACGAUCAGAUACCGUCGUAGUCCUAA
rnacentral:rRNA from 1 species